AGGAAAAGAAAUCAACCGAGAUUCCCCCAGUAGCGGCGAGCGAACGGGGAGCAGCCCAGAGUCUGAAUCAGCUUGUGUGUUAGUGGAACGGUCUGGAAAGUCCGACGGUACAGGGUGAUAGUCCCGUACACCAAAAAUGCACAGGCUGUGAACUCGAAGAGUAGGGCGGGACACGUGGUAUCCUGUCUGAAUAUGGGGGGACCAUCCUCCAAGGCUAAAUACUCCUGACUGACCGAUAGUGAACCAGUACCGUGAGGGAAAGGCGAAAAGAACCCCGGCGAGGGGAGUGAAAAAGAACCUGAAACCGUGUACGUACAAGCAGUGGGGAGCACCUUCGGGUGUGACUGCGUACCUUUUGUAUAAUGGGUCAGCGACUUAUAUUCUGUAGCAAGGUUAACCGUAUAGGGGAGCCGCAGGGAAACC
rnacentral:rRNA from 1 species